rnacentral:rRNA from 1 species
GUGUUCCACGCUGUCGGUUCGCCGCCCGUCGGUGUCAACUGGCAUGUCCUGUGGAACGUCCUGCCGGUGGCGGUCCGGGCUUUCGGCUUGCGUAAGGGCUUACGCCCGAAGCAGGCCGAACAGUACCGGCCGCCGGUCCAAUCCCGCCACGGUGCUCUUCACCGAGUGUCGAGGUGGGCCGGCACGUUUACUUUGAACAAAUUAGAGUGCUUAAAGCAGGCUGGUGUCCGCCUGAAUACUGUGUGCAUGGAAUAAUAGAAUAGGACCUCGGUUCUAUUUUGUUGGUUUUCGGAACCCGAGGUAAUGAUUAAUAGGGACAGGCGGGGGCAUUCGUAUUGCGACGUUAGAGGUGAAAUUCUUGGAUCGUCGCAAGACGAACCUAAGCGAAAGCAUUUGCCAAGUAUGUUCUCGUUAAUCAAGAACGAAAGUUAGAGGUUCGAAGGCGAUCAGAUACCGCCCUAGUUCUAACCAUAAACGAUGCCAGCCAGCGAUCCGCCGAAGUUCCUCCGAUGACUCGGCGGGCAGCUUCCGGGAAACCAAAGCUUUUGGGUUCCGGGGGAAGUAUGGUUGCAAAGCUGAAACUUAAAGGAAUUGACGGAAGGGCACCACCAGGAGUGGAGCCUGCGGCUUAAUUUGACUCAACACGGGAAACCUCACCAGGCCCGGACACCGGAAGGAUUGACAGAUUGAGAGCUCUUUCUUGAUUCGGUGGGUGGUGGUGCAUGGCCGUUCUUAGUUGGUGGAGCGAUUUGUCUGGUUAAUUCCGAUAACGAACGAGACUCUAGCCUGCUAACUAGGCGACCCCGGUACCCACAAUAGUGUUACCGGCGAUUCAAUUUCUUCUUAGAGGGACAGGCGGCUCCUAGCCGCACGAGACUGAGCAAUAACAGGUCUGUGAUGCCCUUAGAUGUCCUGGGCCGCACGCGCGCUACACUGAAGGAAUCAGCGUGUCUUCCCUGGCCGACAGGCCCGGGUAACCCGUUGAACCUCCUUCGUGCUAGGGAUUGGGGCUUGCAAUUGUUCCCCAUGAACGAGGAAUUCCCAGUAAGCGCGAGUCAUAAGCUCGCGUUGAUUACGUCCCUGCCCUUUGUACACACCGCCCGUCGCUACUACCGAUUGAAUGAUUUAGUGAGGUCUUCGGACUGGUGCGCGGCGAUCGGCUUUUACUGCCGGCCGCCGAUGUUGCCGGAAAGAUGACCAAACUUGAUCAUUUAGAGGAAGUAAAAGU